rnacentral:rRNA from 1 species
AUUGAACGCUGGCGGCAGGCCUAACACAUGCAAGUCGAACGGUAGCACAGAGAGCUUGCUCUCGGGUGACGAGUGGCGGACGGGUGAGUAACGUCUGGGAAACUGCCCGAUGGAGGGGGAUAACUACUGGAAACGGUAGCUAAUACCGCAUAACGUCGCAAGACCAAAGUGGGGGACCUUCGGGCCUCACACCAUCGGAUGUGCCCAGAUGGGAUUAGAUAGUAGGUGGGGUAAUGGCUCACCUAGGCGACGAUCCCUAGCUGGUCUGAGAGGAUGAUCAGCCACACUGGAACUGAGACACGGUCCAGACUCCUACGGGAGGCAGCAGUGGGGAAUAUUGCACAAUGGGCGCAAGCCUGAUGCAGCCAUGCCGCGUGUACGAAGAAGGCCUUCGGGUUGUAAAGUACUUUCAGCGGGGAGGAAGGCGGUGAAGUUAAUAGCUUCACCGAUUGACGUUACCCGCAGAAGAAGCACCGGCUAACUCCGUGCCAGCCGCCGCUGUAA